rnacentral:rRNA from 1 species
UGACGGGGGCCCGCACAAGCGGUGGAGCAUGUGGUUUAAUUCGAUGCAACGCGAAGAACCUUACCUGGUCUUGACAUCCACAGAACUUUCCAGAGAUGGACUGGUGCCUUCGGGAACUGUGAGACAGGUGCUGCAUGGCUGUCGUCAGCUCGUGUUGUGAAAUGUUGGGUUAAGUCCCGCAACGAGCGCAACCCUUAUCCU